rnacentral:rRNA from 1 species
UGGUAGUGUAUUGGACUACCAUGGCAGUCACGGGUAACGGGGAAUUAGGGUUCGAUUCCGGAGAGGGAGCCUGAGAAAUGGCUACCACUUCUAAGGAAGGCAGCAGGCGCGUAAAUUACCCAAUCCUGAUUCAGGGAGGUAGUGACAAGAAAUAACAACUCGGGUCCCUCACGGGACUGCGAGAUUGCAAUGAGAACAAUUUAAACCACUUAUCAAGGAACAAUUGGAGGGCAAGUCUGGUGCCAGCAGCCGCGGUAAUUCCAGCUCCAAUAGCGUAUAUUAAAGUUGUUGCAGUUAAAAAGCUCGUAGUUGAAUUUCUGGCCAGUUCUGCACUGCGCAGUUUGCCGGUGUAGGGCUUGGUCAUCCGUAGGGGAAGCCAGUUCGGCCUUCACUGGUCGGCUGGGGGAACCUACAAUUUACUGUGAAAAAAUUAGAGUGUUUCAGGCAGGCAAUCGCUUGGAUACUCCAGCAUGGAAUAAUGGAAUAGGACUUUGGUCUAUUUAUUGGUUUGAGAUCAAAGUAAUGAUUAAUAGGGACAGUUGGGGGCAUUCGUAUUUAAUUGUCAGAGGUGAAAUUCUUGGAUUUAUUAAAGACGAACUUAUGCGAAAGCAUUUGCCAAGGAUGUUUUCAUUAAUCAAGAACGAAAGUUAGGGGAUCAAAGACGAUCAGA